CCACCCCCAUAUCUCCCCAUUCUCCACUUUCUUGAAACUUCCAGAACCUUCUCUCUCUCCUCCAACUUGCCCAAGAAAGUUCCUCUCCUCUAGAACUUUCCAAUCAUCGCCUUCCAUUUGGUCAGAUUCCUAUUUAUUCCAUUCCAUGCUUCCCCAAUCGAAUUCUGAUUCCUCAAUCGAUUUCCAUGCUUUGUUCUGUUCAGAAUCAGAUGAUCGAAGGCGGCUGAAUUGUUCAAUCCAAUUUCUGCGCGGUUAAUUGUAGAGAUGAAUCCGAUGAAUAAUCCUCUGUUUCCGGUUAAGCAGGAGUUUCCGGGUUCGUCGGAGGGCGGCGGAGACCGGGCGGCGAUGGCGGCUCCGCUGCCAAUGGAGGGGCUCCACGACGUGGGUCCGCCGCCGUUUCUGACGAAGACGUUUGAAAUCGUCGAUGACUUCAACACGAACCAUGUGAUUUCGUGGAGCUUUGGGGGAUCCAGCUUCGUGGUUUGGGAUCCUCAUUGCUUCUCCACUGAAUUACUUCCGCGAUUCUUUAAGCACAAUAAUUUCUCCAGCUUCGUACGCCAGCUUAAUACUUACGGUUUUAGAAAGGUGGAUCCAGAUAGAUGGGAGUUUGCGAAUGAAGGGUUUCUGAGAGGCCAGAAGCAUCUCCUCAAGAACAUAAAGAGAAGGAGGGCAACGUAUCAGCAGCAAUCUCUGCAUUCCCAACAAGCCGGUGGAGCUUGUGUAGAGGUUGGCCAAUUUGGAAGAGAUGCAGAAGUGGAUCGUCUAAAACGGGACAAGCAAGUGCUGAUGAUGGAGUUAGUGAAGCUAAGGCAAGAGCAGCAGAACACAAGAGCCUAUCUUCAAGCAAUGGAGCAAAGGCUGAGAGGAACCGAGAUUAAGCAGAGACAAAUGAUGAAUUUCUUAGCGAGAGCCAUGCAGAACCCAUCGUUUAUUCAGCAGUUAGUCCAGCAAAAGGAGAAGAGGAAGGAGCUUGAAGAAGCAAUAACCAAGAAGAGGAGAAGGCCAAUUGAGCAAGGGCAACAGAGAUUUUCAGGUGAAGCAUCAAACACCAUUAAGACUGAGCCUCUGGAAUCUGAAGAUCAAUAUGGGUUUGGGAUGACAGAGCUGGAAGCACUUGCAUUGGAGAUGCAGGGGUUGGGGAAGGCAAGACACGAGGAGGAGGAAGAAGAAGAAGAAGAAGAAGAAGAGGAAAAGGAAGAUAAGUCACUGCAAUCGGAGGAUGAAGAUAAAGUUCUUGAUGAAGGGUUUUGGGAAGAAUUAUUCAGUGAGAGAUUGGAAGUGGCAAGAGGUGAAAAUGAAGAUGUGAACGUGUUGGCUGAUCGAUUGGGCUAUUUGGGGUCAAGCCCAAGAUAGAGCCUAAUGGGGAAGAAAAGAAUCACAAUGUUCCCUUUGAAAUGGAAGCUCAAAAGAAGCUGUCCUUCCCAUUUGGGGUUUUUGAUCUAAACCCUUUAUAACCUUCUUUUGGUUUAGUGUUUUGGCAGGACAGGAAGAUGAAAAGAGAGACACUACUGGUUUCUUCAGGGAUACAGCCUUUUUUUGUUGUGUUUUUGGCAUAAUCUUUCAAAGUUCUAACCCAAAUAAAAUGUUGAUUGCCCUUCCCUUUCCCCUUGUGCAACAACCACUUGUCCUUAUAUUAUCUCCUCUGUUUUUGUUAGGUUUGCAGGAAAUCUUAUGAUCUGCUUGGACUGAGUUCUGUGUUUAGUGAUGCCUCAAGAUCACUCACUCCAAAGCUCUAUCAAAUUGGGAAACAUCUCUGUUGCUGAAUACCUUGAAGAAUCACAAGCUGUUUCGUGCACGCGGUUCAUCUGCUACAAGCCUUUUUCCAAGCCACAACUGCAUCUCUUUCCUUCAAGGAAUCAUCAGAAAGAGAUUUUAUUUAAUGGUACACGACUUUAAUUUCUUCUUUGUGAAACUAGAAGUGGCAUUGUUAUAGGUUGGGUCAGCUUUGUGUUGAUUUGUAAGAUAAAUACAAACAAAGUCUCACAUUAACUAGGAAAGUCUCACAUUAACUAGGAAAGAGCACGAUCUAUAUAUAUAGAUGAGGACAAUUAUAUCCGUUGGAUAGGUCUUUUGGGUGAAACCAAAAACAAAAUCGUGGGGGCUAUGCCCAAAGUGGACAAUAUCAUACCAUCGUGGAGAUACUUGAUUAUUGACAUUCGUUAAUUAAAUGAUGACAUGACAUGACAUGAUUUA